GAAAUGCGAUAAGUAAUGUGAAUUGCAGAAUUCAGUGAAUCAUCGAAUCUUUGAACGCACCUUGCGCUCCUUGGUAUUCCUUGGAGCAUGCCUGUUUGAGUAUCAUGAAAUCUUCAAAGUAAAUCUUUUGGUAACUCAAUUGGUUUCUACUUUGGUAUUGGAGGUCUUUGCAGCUUCACACCUGCUCCUCUUUGUUCAUUAGCUGGAUCUCAGUGUUAUGCUUGGUUCCACUCGGCGUGAUAAGUUAUCUAUCGCUGAGGACACUGUAAAAGGUGGCCAAGGUAAAUGCAGAUGAACCGCUUCUAAUAGUCCAUUGACUUGGACAAUACUUUUAUGAUCUGAUCUCAAAUCAGGUAGGACUACCCGCUGAACUUAAGC
rnacentral:misc_RNA from 1 species